UAGUCAUAUGCUUGUCUCAAAGAUUAAGCCAUGCAUGUCUAAGUAUAAGCAAUCUAUACGGUGAAACUGCGAAUGGCUCAUUAAAUCAGUUAUCGUUUAUUUGAUAGUACCUUACUACUUGGAUAACCGUGGUAAUUCUAGAGCUAAUACAUGCUAAAAACCCCGACUUCGGAAGGGGUGUAUUUAUUAGAUAAAAAACCAAUGCCCUUCGGGGCUCCUUGGUGAUUCAUAAUAACUUAACGAAUCGCAUGGCCUUGUGCCGGCGAUGGUUCAUUCAAAUUUCUGCCCUAUCAACUUUCGAUUGUAAGGUAGUGGCUUACAAUGGUUUCAACGGGUAACGGGGAAUUAGGGUUCUAUUCCGGAGAGGGAGCCUGAGAAACGGCUACCACAUCCAAGGAAGGCAGCAGGCGCGCAAAUUACCCAAUCCCGACACGGGGAGGUAGUGACAAUAAAUACUGAUACAGGGCUCUUUUGGGUCUUGUAAUUGGAAUGAGUACAAUUUAAAUCCCUUAACGAGGAACCAAAUU
rnacentral:rRNA from 1 species